rnacentral:rRNA from 1 species
GUGGAUUAGAUACCCUGGUAGUCCACGCCCUAAACGAUGAAUACUCGCUGUUAGCGAUAUACAGUUAGCGGCUAAGCGAAAGCGUUAAGUAUUCCACCUGGGGAGUACGCCCGCAAGGGUGAAACUCAAAGGAAUUGACGGGGGCCCGCACAAGCGGAGGAGCAUGUGGUUUAAUUCGAUGAUACGCGAGGAACCUUACCCGGGCUUGAAAGUUACUGAAUAACUCAGAGAUGAGUUAGUCCUUCGGGACAGGAAACUAGGUGCUGCACGGCCGUCGUCAACU